rnacentral:tRNA from 1 species
UAGAGAAUAGUGAAAAUGGAGUCACGUAGAGUUUUGAUCUCUAAGGUGUAGGUUCAAUUCCUACUUUUCUAA